AGAGUUUGAUCCUGGCUCAGGAUGAACGCUGGCGGCGUGCUUAACACAUGCAAGUCGAACGAAGCAUUUAGAACAGAUUACUUCGGUUUGAAGUUCUUUAUGACUGAGUGGCGGACGGGUGAGUAACGCGUGGGUAACCUGCCUUGUACUGGGGGAUAGCAGCUGGAAACGGCUGGUAAUACCGCAUAAGCGCACAAUGUUGCAUGACAUGGUGUGAAAAACUCCGGUGGUAUAAGAUGGACCCGCGUCUGAUUAGCUAGUUGGUGAGAUAACAGCCCACCAAGGCGACGAUCAGUAGCCGACCUGAGAGGGUGACCGGCCACAUUGGGACUGAGACACGGCCCAGACUCCUACGGGAGGCAGCAGUGGGGAAUAUUGCACAAUGGAGGAAACUCUGAUGCAGCGACGCCGCGUGAGUGAAGAAGUAAUUCGUUAUGUAAAGCUCUAUCAGCAGGGAAGAUAGUGACGGUACCUGACUAAGAAGCUCCGGCUAAAUACGUGCCAGCAGCCGCGGUAAUACGUAUGGAGCAAGCGUUAUCCGGAUUUACUGGGUGUAAAGGGAGUGUAGGUGGUAUCACAAGUCAGAAGUGAAAGCCCGGGGCUCAACCCCGGGACUGCUUUUGAAACUGUGGAACUGGAGUGCAGGAGAGGUAAGUGGAAUUCCUAGUGUAGCGGUGAAAUGCGUAGAUAUUAGGAGGAACACCAGUGGCGAAGGCGGCUUACUGGACUGUAACUGACACUGAGGCUCGAAAGCGUGGGGAGCAAACAGGAUUAGAUACCCUGGUAGUCCACGCC
rnacentral:rRNA from 1 species